rnacentral:rRNA from 1 species
CCCCAGCGCCACAAGUGGCAUUCACAUUUACUUGGUCUAAAGCGUCCGUAGCAGGUUUGAUAAAUCUUUUGUGAAAUCGUCGGGCUUAACUCGACGGCGUGCAGGGGACACUAUCAGACUUGGGACCGGGAGGAGUCAGAAGUAUUCUUUGGGGAGCGGUAAAAUGCUAUAAUCCAUUGAAGACUACCAGUGGCGAAGGCGUCUGACUAGAACGGAUCCGACUGUGAGGGACGAAAGCUAGGGGAGCGAUCCG